GUYUUUUUGUUAAAAAUUUAAAGUCGGGCCUGCCCACUGAAAAUUUAAAUGGCCGUGGUAUUUUGACCGUGCUAAGGUAGCAUAAUCAUUAGUUUUUUAAUUGAAAGCUGGAAUGAAGGGUUUGAUAAAAAAAUGACUGUCUCUAUUUAAUUUUAUUAAAAUUUUAUUUUUAAGUUCAAAAGCUUAAUUUUUAUUAAAAGACGAGAAGACCCUAUAGAGUUUAAUAAUAGAAAUUAAUUUUUAUUUUAGAAUUAAUUUAUUUAUUUUUUAAUAUUAUUUAAUUGGGGUGAUUGAAAAAUUUAGUUAACUUUUUUUAUAUUAAAUCAUUAAUUUAUGAAUAUUUGAUCCAAUUUUUUUGAUUAUAAGAUAAAAUUACCUUAGGGAUAACAGCGUAAUUUUUUUAGAAAGUUCAAAUUAAAAAAAAAGAUUGCGACCUCGAUGUUGGAUUAAAAUUAAAUUUUGGUGUAGAAGCUAAAAAAUUUAAGUCUGUUCGACUUUUAAAAUUUUACA
rnacentral:rRNA from 1 species